ACGCCCACAUCACGUUGAAACAUCGGUUCCCAUACGAUCACCGAAGUUAAGCAACGUCGAGCCUGGUCUGUACGUUGAUGGGUGACUGUUUGGGAAUAUUAGGUGCUGGAA